rnacentral:rRNA from 1 species
AGGGCACCACCAGGAGUGGAGCCUGCGGCUUAAUUUGACUCAACACGGGGAAACUUACCCGGCCUGGACACUGGAAGGAUUGACAGAUUGAGAGCUCUUUCUUGAUUCAGUGGGUGGUGGUGCAUGGCCGUUCUUAGUUGGUGGAGCGAUUUGUCUGGUUAAUUCCGAUAACGAACGAGACUCUAGCCUAUUAAAUAGGCUCUCGGCUUUUAAACGCCGGGAGGACUUCUUAGAGGGACAGGUGGCGGUUCAGCCGCACGAAAGAGAGCAAUAACAGGUCUGUGAUGCCCUUUGUUGUCCGGGGCCGCACGCGCGCUACACUGAAGAGAUCAGCGUGCUUUACGUUCCUGCUCCGACCGGAGUGGGGAACCCAGUGAACCUUCUUCGUGAUUGGGAUAGAAGAUUGUAAUUAUUCUUCUUGAACGAGGAAUUCCCAGUAAAUGCGAGUCAUAAGCUCGCGUUGAUUACGUCCCUGCCCUUUGUACACACCACCCGUCGCUACUACCGAUUGAACGAUUU